rnacentral:lncRNA from 1 species
GGACGGAAGCCGUGGAAGCGGGAGGGGCCUUCGUGUGAAAAUCCCUUGUGGGGUUUGGUGUUUCACUUUUUAAAGGCAUACAACUCAGGAUUCAUAACUACAUAUAUACGGAUAGAAGUGCAUGAACAGAAAAUCUGCCCUUCUGGAAUACCAAAUGCAAAAUUAAAGUGACUACAAGCAGAAUUUGGAGAAAAAAAAUAAAAGAUGCAAUAUAGUUUUUAAAAUCAUUGUUAAAAUAUAAUGAGUCUGUACUUUGCUUAAACAAUAAAAAAGUCUUUGAUUUAUA